ACGUAGGGUGCAAGCGUUAAUCGGAAUUACUGGGCGUAAAGCGUGCGCAGGCGGUUAUGCAAGACAGAUGUGAAAUCCCCGGGCUUAACCUGGGAACUGCAUUUGUGACUGCAUGGCUGGAGUGCGGCAGAGGGGGAUGGAAUUCCGCGUGUAGCAGUGAAAUGCGUAGAUAUGCGGAGGAACACCGAUGGCGAAGGCAAUCCCCUGGGCCUGCACUGACGCUCAUGCACGAAAGCGUGGGGAGCAAACAGGAUUAGAUACCCUGGUAGUCCACGCCCUAAACUAUGUCAACUGGUUGUUGGGAAGGUUCCUUCUCAGUAACGAAGCUAACGCGUGAAGUUGACCGCCUGGGGAGUACGGCCGCAAGGUUG
rnacentral:rRNA from 1 species